GAUGAACGCUAGCUACAGGCUUAACACAUGCAAGUCGAGGGGAAACGAUAUUGGAAGCUUGCUUCCGAUAGGCGUCGACCGGCGCACGGGUGAGUAACGCGUAUCCAACCUGCCCAUCACUUGGGGAUAACCUUGCGAAAGUAAGACUAAUACCCAAUGACGUCUCUAGAAGACAUCUGAAAGAGAUUAAAGAUUUAUCGGUGAUGGAUGGGGAUGCGUCUGAUUAGCUUGUUGGCGGGGUAACGGCCCACCAAGGCGACGAUCAGUAGGGGUUCUGAGAGGAAGGUCCACCACAUUGGAACUGAGACACGGUCCAAACUCCUACGGGAGGCAGCAGUGAGGAAUAUUGGUCAAUGGGCGAGAGCCUGAACCAGCCAAGUAGCGUGCAGGAUGACGGCCCUAUGGGUUGUAAACUGCUUUUAUAAGGGAAUAAAGUGAGCCACGUGUGGCUUUUUGCAUGUACCUUAUGAAUAAGGACCGGCUAAUUCCGUGCCAGCAGCCGCAGUAA
rnacentral:rRNA from 1 species